rnacentral:lncRNA from 1 species
CACUAAUGAAGGAUCUGUUUGCCUUUGGGGAUAAAGAUGGUAUCACUGAUUCACAGUUGUUUUUCCAGGAGUGAAGAACAGAUUUUACUUCCUCAUCCAUAGUCUCUUGCCUGGCCCUUUCUCGUCCCUACUACCACUACCCUAAUUCAGGCCUCAUUGUUUCCUGCCAGGACGGUUCACCUGCCUCCAACUGGCCUCCUUGCCUUUGGUUCUGGCCCUGCCUGGUUCGAGAUCACAUUGCCAGAGGGAUCUUCAUAAGCACAGAUUUGCUGUAUCACUUCCAGCUUAAAAUCCGUCAGUGACUCCUGUUAGUGCCAGUGUGGAAUCCAAACUUCUUAGCAUGUUCAGUUUGAUGGUGGCCGUGAAGGGGUCUGAUGCUCAGUAACUUGAGGUGCCCCUGCAGCAUGAGGUGGUGGAGAGGGUAUCUGAGUGGGUAUGGGAUCCUGGGGUCAGGCCCAUGUUCACUUGCUCAGGAGCUUGGAGCACAACUUCCCCUUUCUGGGAGAAGGCUUUAUAUCUCAUUAAGAUGGAUGAAAUCUCUCAGCUGGACAAAGGCAGCAGCACAUUAUGUUCAAAACGAAGAGACUUGGUGUGAGAUGGAUCCUGAACAGCUCACCUCCCACCAUCCCAGCCAGAAGUAGCACGGUCUUCAAAUUCCAGCCCAUCUCUCUCUUCUUGAUGAAUACCUCUUCCAGCUCAGUUGCAAUGAAAUGUCUCCUUCUUCCAUAUAAACCCAGGGCUGUGCCCAAGCCUGCUUAUCCCAUUACCCACACUUCCCCCGAGUCUUAAAACAUGUCACUUCCUCGAGACUCAGAAGCCCACCUUAGGAAGUAUAAGAUUCAUGUUGAUAACU